GAUGAAGAACGCAGCGAAAUGCGACAAGUAAUGUGAAUUGCAGAAUUCAGUGAAUCAUCGAAUCUUUGAACGCACAUUGCGCCCCUUGGUAUUCCAUGGGGCAUGCCUGUUCGAGCGUCAUUUGUACCUUCAAGCCUUGCUUGGUGUUGGGUGUUUGUCUCGCCUCUGCGCGCAGACUCGCCUCAAAACAAUUGGCAGCCGGCGUAUUGAUUUCGGAGCGCAGUACAUCUCGCGCUUUGCACUCAGAACGACGACGUCCAAAAGUACAUUUUUACACUCUUGACCUCGGAUCAGGUAGGGAUACCCGCUGAACUUAAGCAUAUCAAUAAGCGGAGGA
rnacentral:misc_RNA from 1 species